AACUGCCAUGCUUAGUACUAGCAGUCAAAUUAUCCCUCAAAUGGAGACUCCCUCUCAAAUGGAUGAUGAUGGCACAAGAUGAGGCAUGGGAGUUUUGGAAGAUAUAUGCAUUGAAAAUAGGUUUUGGUGUACGUAGGAGAGUUACUAACAAAAGUAAGGAUGGUUCCAUAAAUUCUACACACUUUUGUUGUGAAAAAGAGGGAUGUCAAUGAAAAGACAAAUGGCUGGAAUUAGUAAAAAAGCCUAGGCCUGAAACGAGGAUGGAUUGCCAUACUCGAAUGGGAAUCAAAUUAGUUUGAGGGAGCGGUAAAUAUUGUGUGUAUGAUUUUGAGCCAAAGCAUUCCCAUCCAUUGCACUUUGGAUAGUGUACUCACUUGAUACGGUCAUAUAGGAAAAUAAGCAAUGUCCAAGCUCAGUAAAUUGUGUUGGCUAACAAUGCAGGCCUCACACAAAGCUAGUAGCAUAACUUGUCUAGUGUACAGGUUGGGGGAAGAGAAAAUGUUGGUUACGCGAGGGCUGAUCUAAAAAACUAUCUUUGCACUAAACGAGGGGGAGACAUGGAGUUUGAAGACGUAGGAUGUUUAUUAAGGUACUUCGAGAAACGACAGAUCUUAGACACAUCUUUCUUAUAUGUUGUUCAACUUGAUAGUAAUAAGCAAAUAACAAACAUAUUUUGGGCAGAUUAUAGGAUGGUUAUUGAUUAUGCCAUUUUCGGUGAUGUUGUGACCUUUGGCACCUCAUUUUCCACCAACAAAGAGUACAGGCCACUCGGUAUAUUUAUUGGAUUCAAUUACCAUAGAGAGCUUUUGAUUUUUGGGGCUACACAUUUAUAUGAUGAAACCGCAGAUUCCUUCAGAUGGCUUUUCAAAACAUUCUUGGGGGCACACAAAAAUAGGAGGCCUGCAACAAUUUUUACUGAUCAAGAUGUAGCAAUGUCGAAGGCAUUAGAAGAGAUGAUUCUCGAGACAA